GAUGAACGCUGGCGGCGUGCCUAUUACAUGCAAGUCGAGCGAAUGGAUUAAGAGCUUGCUCUUAUGAAGUUAGCGGCGGACGGGUGAGUAACACGUGGGUAACCUGCCCAUAAGACUGGGAUAACUCCGGGAAACCGGGGCUAAUACCGGAUAAUAUUUUGAACUGCAUGGUUCAAAAUUGAAAGGCGGCUUCGGCUGUCACUUAUGGAUGGACCCGCGUCGCAUUAGCUAGUUGGUGAGGUAACGGCUCACCAAGGCAACGAUGCGUAGCCGCCCGGGGAGGGUGAUCGGCCACACUGGGACUGAGACACGGCCCAGACUCCUACGGGAGGCAGCAGUAGGGAAUCUUCCGCAAUGGACGAAAGUCUGACGGAGCAACGCCGCGUGAGUGAUGAAGGCUUUCGGGUCGUAAAACUCUGUUGUUAGGGAAGAACAAGUGCUAGUUGAAUAAGCUGGCACCUUGACGGUACCUAACCAGAAAGCCACGGCUAACUACGUGCCAGCCGCCGCGGUAA
rnacentral:rRNA from 1 species